rnacentral:rRNA from 2 species
AGAAUCAACGCUGGCGGCGUGCCUCAGACAUGCAAGUCGAACGCGAAAGUCCCCUUCGGGGGAUAAGUAGAGUGGCGCACGGGUGAGUAACACGUAGGUAAUCUACCUUCGGGUGGGGAAUAACCCAGGGAAACUUGGGCUAACACCGCAUAAUGCAGCGGCACCACAUGGUGACAGUUGUUAAAGCGGGGGAUUUUAGGACCUCGCGCCUGAAGAGGAGCCUGCGGCAGAUUAGCUAGUUGGUAAGGUAACGGCUUACCAAGGCGACGAUCU